rnacentral:rRNA from 1 species
AUCGCUAAACUUCGGUUCUGCGUAAUGUUAGUGGCGAACGGGUGAGUAACACGUAGGCAACCUGCCCUCGAGUGGGGGAUAACCAUUGGAAACGAUGGCUAAUACCGCAUGAAGUCCCGAUGACGCCUGUCAUCGGGAUGAAAACUCCGGUGCUCGAGGAUGGGCCUGCGGUGGAUUAGGAAGUUGGUGAGGUAACGGCUCACCAAUCCUGCGAUCCAUAGCUGGUCUGAGAGGAUGAUCAGCCACACUGGCACUGAGACACGGGCCAGACUCCUACGGGAGGCAGCAGUGAGGAAUAUUGGGCAAUGGGGGAAACCCUGACCCAGCCACGCCGCGUGCAGGAUGACACCCCUAUGGGGCGUAAACUGCUUUUGUACGAGAAGAACCACCUGGAUUCGUCCGGGUCUGACGGUACCGUACGAAUAAGGACCGGCUAACUCCGUGCCAGCAGCCGCGGUAAUACGGAGGGUCCAAGCGUUGUCCGGAUUUAUUGGGUGUAAAGGGUGUGUAGGCGGGCUUGUCAGUCAGAGGUGAAAUCCUACGGCUCAACCGUAGAACUGCCUUUGAUACUGCAAGUCUUGAGUCCUGGAGAGGUUGCUAGAAUUCGUGGUGUAGCGGUGAAAUGCGUAGAUAUCACGAGGAAUACCGGUUACGAAGGUUGGCAACUGGACAGGCACUGACGCUGAGGCACGAAAGCGUGGGGAGCAAACAGGAUUAGAUACCCUGGUAGUCCACGCCGUAAACGAUGAUCACUCGGUGUCGCGGCUUUAUGCUGCGGUGCCUAAGCUAACGCAUUAAGUGAUCCACCUGGGGAGUACGAUCGCAAGGUUG